UACGUAGGCAGCGAGCGUUGUUCGGAAUUACUGGGCGUAAAGAGUGUGUAGGCGGUGCUCUAAGUUCGGUGUGAAAUCUCCUGGCUCAACUGGGAGGGUGCGCCGGAAACUGGAGUGCUUGAGCGUGGGAGAGGAAAGCGGAAUUCCUGGUGUAGCGGUGAAAUGCGUAGAUAUCCGGAGGAACACCGGUGGCGAAGGCGGCUUCCUGGACCGACACUGACGCUGAGGCGCGAAAGCCAGGGGAGCAAACGGG
rnacentral:rRNA from 1 species